GUGCCUGUUUAAACAUUCCUUUUGUCCUCACCCUUCUUCCUUAUCCUUAGAUCCUCUCACCCAGCCAUGCAUGAUCCUACAUUCAGCAGUAUUUCUCUCUUACAAAUCAGUGAACAGUACUUUCAGCCAUGACUUUUCAGCAAAACAAACAUGCUCAUAAUGUUAUUAUUGGACGUACAACAUUCCUACUUGUCCAAUAAUAACACGAAACCUCCUAUUUCUUCCACCCCACCACGCCCAACACCACAAAAAAUAUCCUCCCUUGCUUGCCAGUUGCUCCCACCCUCAACAACGUUGAUAGAGUGGUAGUGCCAGCCCUCUCCCCUUCAGUACUAGCUACAAUGCAAUGUACCUCUCAUCUAACCAUCACUAGCUACAACUGUGCCUUUAUUGUGCCACCUUAUUGUUAGACUCCCUACAGGCCCAAGGCUAUUAGUGGCCCUUGUGGACCUCAAACUCUAGUAGACUUAAGCCCUAACCUUGUAGAAGGUGAAGAAGACGCAAGAGCUAUCAGUGAAGUAGUCCUGCUUUGUACAUAAAACUAGCUCUUGCAGUAGUCCAUGUCAGUAAAAGUUGUGGUAUAUAUUAAUAUAUAUGUGAAUAAUCGAAACAAAGGAACUGUGGACAGAAGGAUACAUACAUACAGUGUGUGAGGUUAACUUUACUACUUUAGUGAUCUCUCUCUUUCCCCUCUGUAGUUUUCAUCUAGAAGAAUAUGUCCCAUACAGUUAUUGUUGCAUAAUGAUGAAUUCUUCUUUUUUUGGCAAGAUCUUAUUUCCCCUGCACCGAUUUCUCUCUCCCUAAAGAUCAUAUGGUGUUCCGCCAUCUUUUUCUCCAAAUGGUGUGAUGUCUCACUGAUAGUGACGACACUUAUACUAUGUGUAGCCUUUAUGUAAAAUACAAGAAUAAUGCCAUUAGUAGAUCCGUUAAUAUUUUAGCUGCACCUUUACACAUUGUCUUCUCUAAAAUUGUACACGAAACGAAAGAGGAAGACUCUUUAAUUCUACCGGCCGGCAGUUUAGUUGGGCUAUAUAUACCCAGGCGUUCAGCAUAUAUUUCCAAUCAUGCCAAUCUAGUACUGUGCCCUACAAGCAUAUAAAGGUGUGGAAAUAGUUGAUAUCGACUUCCCAAAUUUUUGUGGACAUAGAUUCCCUACCUCUUUUUCUCUCCAGAGAGAAAGUGUAUGAAGAGUUCACUAGCAUGCAUGCAUAUUCAUGGUCUAUACUUCGUAGAUUCACUCGAGAGUUCUCUAAUGUGGAACUCUUUCAUCCCCAGUAUCCUACUAUUUUGCAAGUUUCUCGACCAGAGUUGUGGAUGUUCUAUGAUUAAGUCCAUCUAGUCCUUUAGAGGAUUUUGUUGAAUUGAAUAACAAUAGGGUUAAAGGUCUAACAAGAUUACUAAGUGUUUGAAAUAUACAAUAUCAUUUUUGAUCUUGAGUAUAAAUAUGUUGUAUUAUCAGGAUGCAACAUGAAUAGUUUGACAAACCUUAAGUGCUCAACUAAUGGAAUCCGUGUGCUAGCAUGAGAGAAACACAUGACACAACACUUGCACUUGUUGGUCUUGGCGCUUUUUUCAGUUGGUUUGCUUAGCCCUUUUAAUAAGCUUUUUGAAAACUUUAAGAUCAUUAAAAUCGGAGUUCAGAGCUAAAAUUUAUGGUGUUUUUUUGUGGAGUGACAUAUGCUUGUUUUUGGAGCUUAGGAAGUUCCAUAUCUCUAGAAGUUGUAGAGAUUUUUUUCAGAACUUCUAGCCAUGUACGCUCUUUCUAGGUUCAACGGUUAUUUUUCAAAAUCCAGAAGUUCUAGACUUCUUUUUGGAACUUCUGGAUCUUGAUAGGCAUAACAUCUAGUUCGUGAGUGUGAGGUAUUUAUACCCCGAGCCCUCAUUUCGAGGGGUUGCUAAUGCCUCACCACACCCAAAUCUGAUUCAAAAAUCUCUCUAGCUCAACCCCUCUCUGUGAAGAUUGUGUGAUUUAUGAGAAAUUUAGUGCGUUGGGUUGAGAGAUUUAAUGAUUCAGAGCAAAAUUGAGCAAUCAAAAUUCUUAAGCACUUGGAGGUGAAAUGGCAAGGCAUUGCCCGAUAAGUUCUCGUGCUUGUGGUGAGCGGGGGCAGGGAGCUUGUGAAGGCCCAACAUCAUAUCCGAAGAGAUCGAGCUAGUGGAUCGAGGAAAGUGAUUGAGAAAGAAACGCGACUAGAGCUUGACCAUGAGUUGUCGCUCAAGGCUUUCUCAAUGGAGACGUAGGGUUCAAGUGGGAACCCAAAUUUGGUGAAACAAUUCCUUCUAUCAUUUGUGCUUUACUUUGCGUAGUUUUGAAUUCCCACUCAACCAACUUGUGUGUGUUUUUUAGUGCAGGUGUUUUGUGCACUUUCUAGCGGACAUCUCAAAAUGCAAAUCUCCGAGUUCGGUUUGAGUUAGAACUCUCUAAAUGUAUUUUCAUCUGGACUUACUUUUUAAGUCCAGAAGUCCCGAACAAAACUUCUAGACGUCACCCGUAAGUUCUGGACAUUUGUUUGGAAUUUCUAAAGGUUGCUUAAUAUGUUACUUUACAAGUUGUGAUUUAUUUAGCAAACACCUAUUGACCCCUCCCCCUUUCGGCAACAUCUCAGUCCUUUCACUAGGUUGUCUUGUCGAUCUUAGAGCUAUCUUAGACGCAUCUUAUCGUCUUUCGAAGUAGUGGUUCGUUGUUUUUGGGCAAAUCCGCUAAAAACCAACUAGGACGGUUCGAGAAACCAUCCGUCGUAAGUUGCGGGUUCACUUGGAGUUGCUAUGAUUUUGCGGUCUGAGCAUUCAAGCUAUGGUGUGGGAGCUUUACUCUUCCCUCAGCUCCACUCCACUUCUCCAUAGCAGCGGCCCUACCAAACGUUUCAUAAGAGGAGCUACUUUUCAGUGAAAAACAAAGCAGUUGAAGCCAUUUUGGAUGAGUUGUGGAUCCUCCAAAAUGGCUCUGGCUAUUCCGAAGAAGCCCAUCGGGAGGAGCCCUCCCAAAUAUCCCACAUCAACAAAACCGAUAGUCAGAUCUAGCCUAAUGAAUCUAAACUCUCACUGCCAAUUAAGCUGAGUAAAGUCAUACGCUCAGCUAAGCCAACUUGAGUGACGUUUGUCAGGUUAGUUUUUUUCAGACUCGAAAACAGCAAAAUUUGAGUGCAAACAAUUGAGGUAUAUUUGAGUAUAUAAUUAACAUGUUGCUAUCAUUUCUGCAUCGAUCGAUCCAUUGGUAGGGACGGAAGAUUUGAUCAGCCAUCGCUCGGUGAAAGCUCAAAAGGAUGAAAUAAAAGUGCGUAUAUAUAUAUUAUGCAAUUUCUUUUUAGUCCACAGGAAUGGUGUUCGUUGAGGUGCUUAAUCAAUGUCUCCCCAACUAACCGGGUCGCGUUAUAUGUGAUAAUUGAUUCCUUUGUGGCCAUCACUGUCACGAUUAGUGCUUGUGUCUUCUAGAGGGAAAAAACAGUUUAGUUAGCUCCAGCGCUUUCUCUCCAUGUGAAUGCAAAUGACGUGUACACAUAUGCUUACCUCAUCCUUAUUUAUAUAUGUUUUUUCUAGGUUAUUCAUCUUAGGCUUUGUUUAGUUCCCAAUUUUUUUCAAGAUUUUCCGUCACAUCAAAUCUUGCGGCACAUGCAUGAAGCAUUAAAUAUAAACGAAAACAAAAAUUAAUUACACAAUUUGUCUGUAAAUCGCGAGACGAAUCUUUUGACUCUAGUUAGACUAUGAUUGGACAAUAUUUGCCAAAAACAAACGAAAGUGCUACAGUAGCGAAAUCCAAAAAAUUUCGCAAACUGAACCAGGCCUUAUCUUACUAAACCAGAAAGGCUAAAUAACAGACGGUGGUUUCUCGAGCAUGCAACACUCGAUUCGAUUCCUACAGAAAAUCCAGACUCUGUCUCUCUUCUUCUACAAGUCCGGCGGCCAUAAAAGGGGUUCAAGAAAGGAAGGCUAACCAAGCAGUAUAGAGAUGGUGGCAGGGCGGUCUGGGCCCUAGAUCGGGGCAAGAGCGCCCAUAGCCAAAGCUCACCAUGAAAAUUGGAGAUCGAUCAAGCAGGUGAAGAAGGAGGUCAUCGCGGCCGCGCUAGGGUUUCACCAGACCUCUGCAGCCACAACGAGCCGGUGGGCGGCGGCUGGGGCGACGAUGAAGAUGAACAGUGAACAAACACAUUGAGUGUUCUCCCCCCCCUCCCACACACACACAAAAGAAACACUUGAACGUAGGGCCACUAAAAAGAGCCCCUACAUUAGUUCUCACAAGAUGUAUAGAAAACAUAAAUUGUAUAAAUUCUUAUAAUAAAGCAUUUAGUUUGUUAGAAUCUAUAAUUAUCAUCGCCAAUAAUAACUAUUAAAUCUACUAUAUUUUAUAAAAAACUACUCACAUCAGUCUAUAAAAAAUUCUAUAUAGGAGCUAAAUAAUUUUGUAUCUAAAUUAACAAACUCUAUAAUUAAAAAAUAAUUUUAAACUAAAUCAUUGCAUCUGACUUACUCAAAUCAUAAACAUAAUUUAAAAUAACGUCUGAUUUUGUAUCUAAAUUAUUGACCUCUAUAGUUAAUUAUGAAAGAUAAUUCAAAUUCACCACUAUCUUUACAUCUUAAUUAUCAUAUUUGGCAUUAUGAAAGAUAAUAUGGUUUAACCUCUUUGUUUGUACCAAAUUACCCAAUUCAUCAUUGUAAAAAAAUAAAUAAAAUAUUCUUCAUACCUAUAAAUACUAAUAUAUGUUAUUAUGAAAAAUAAUUUAGUAUCACAAAGUAUGCUAUAUAUAUGUUACACAAUUCUACCAUCGUUAAAUUUAAAAAAAAUAUAUACUAAUAUACGCUACUAUAUAUAUAAUAUAUCAAGCAAACAUGUAUGCAUAUAUCAUGAUAAAUAUUUAUCAUAAUAGUUGAUGAAGGAUGGGAAAACGUUCCUUUAACAAACCAUGUACCAGAAACAAUGACAACCCACUUUCAAUUGUAUUAAUACUCCAUGAUAUAAUUGUAUAAGUUCGCACUUUAAAUAAUUACGGAUCUUAAAAUCUGAUAUUUUUUUUCAGCCAAAAAACUAAUAUUUAAAAAAGAACAGGUCGGAAACUCUUUUUUUAUGAACUAACUCUUUUAGUCACGUUAGAGAUCUUGGCGCGACUCGUAACUGUAGUCACGUCAUAUGCAUUGACGUGAUUAACUAGGCACGUUGGCAAUUCCAAAUAAGAACACUAUGUAUAUAAUCAAUCGACAUACUGUAGAACCUUACUGAGGCCUUGUUUAGUUUGGGAAAAAUUUUGGAUUUCGCCACUGUAGCACUUUUGUUUGUUUGUGACAAAUAUUAUCCAAUCAUAGACUAAUUAUGAUCAAAAGAUUCGUCUCGUGAUUUACAGGUAAACUGCAUAAUUAGUUUUUGUUUUCGUCUAUAUUUAAUGCUUCAUGUAUGUGCCGCAAGAUUUGAUGUGACGAAGAAUCUUGAAAAAUUUUGAGAACUAAAGAAGGCCUGAGCCGCGCCAACACGAAUGGCUUGUCGAGCAGCUGCGGCGUCACCCCAAAGCGGUUGGCGUGACCAUGUUUUUAUUCAUAUAUACAGGACUUAGCUUAUGUCCAAUGUUCAUAUGACUGUUUUGAAUUCUUUCUGUUGGGGAUUCGACCGCGCCCUCCCCUGGCUGCUUUGGAAGUAAAAAACGCAAUUCGAUCGCGAUGGUUAAGCUUUCAUGCCCCUAACCUUCGUACAGUAGUGUACAAAGGUUCGGGGGAAAAGUUAGAGCAUCUUUAAGGGCUUUUCAUUCUCAGCUUUGCAUUUUAGGGGAUUUGCAAAGUUGCAAAUGAGUUUGCAAAGUUCCUAAAGGAGAGAUCUCCAACCGUUUUGCAUUCUCAUCAAGUCCUUUCCCGAAAUUUUUUCCCACGCGCCAUCCGGCCUAAAAAUUUCGCGCGCAGUGCCAGAUCGCAGUCCGUGUUCGCGCCAUCGUAGAUCGCAGUCCGUCGUUCCAGUGCCCAUCGUUCCUCGCAGUCCGUCGUUCCAGUGCCCAUCGCCCCGUCUCCCCGUCGCCCAUCGUUCGUCGCCCAUCCCCAAACUCGCCCAGGCCAGUCGGGCGAUCGCCGCCAGUCCACCGAUCAUCGCCCGACUCGCCCAGGAAGCCGCGCGAUGAAGAAGUCGCGUGGCGGCGGCGGAGGGAGAUCGCGGGGGGGGAGAUAAAUCGCGCGGGAGUCCUUUGGCGCGCCGAGUCGGGCAACCGCGAUGCCGCCCAAAAUAUUUCGCGCGAGGGGACCGAGCGGCCUACGUGGCGGACCGAAUUCCUUGCGAAUCCCAAAUGCAAAGCCUUGAGGAGGUUUGCAUAUAUGCAAAGUUUCCACCUCUAUUUGCAAACCUUACCAAAUUGCAAACCUCAUUUGCAAAGCUAUUGGAGAGGUGUUUUCUACUCUUUUUUGCAAAUUGGGCAAUGCAAAGUUGAUUUGCAAAGCCCUUGGAGAUGCUCUUAACAUUAAUGUAGCUUGACUAUGUUCAGGGGAAAAGUUAACAUUAAUGCAGCUUGACCGAAAGAUCAGCACCCAAUGCGGGGAAUUCCAAGAAACAUGCGCCGAUCCUUCGGUCAAUGCUCGAUGAAGGAUGCGGAGCCCCUGACGGAGGCAAGGCGGAGAACUCUGGGCAGGGGGUGCUGAUCCUUCGACGGCUGGACGGUGAAGGAUCCUUGAUCUUUGGUGGAGACAAAGCGAAAGACCGAGCCGUGUUAGGGAAAGGCUCCCGGCAAACCGGCUUGUAAAGCGUUCGAGAUUAGGAAUUACUCAAUUAGCCCUGCGAGCUGUAGUCUCAGGGGGCGGAAUAUGCUAGAAUAUUCUGCCACCGUCAUAAGGUAUUUCAGUAAUGAAUCCCGGUCGGAAUCCGCGCCUUAUAUAAAUAGAUUGUAAAUGCUCCUCAGGGAGUUAGUUGAAAGCAGUUAUUGGGAUCUUCAUUGUUCUAGAGUUUUGAGCUCUCUCUCUCUCUCUCGCCAAUCGAGUCUCCUGGGCCCCGCAGCAAUGAGUGGGGGGCCACCACUAGUCUCCGUUAUCGAAGGUAGGUGAAGCUCCGCCAACACUUUAAAAAAAAUUGUAAAUUCAAGUGUACGCUAGAAAUUUAUUUUACUAGAUGCUAGAAAAUAACCACGAUCCAUUUUACUUGUACAUGGCAUCAUACCUCUUGUAGUUUUGAAAUUAAAAUUCUUCUCGUAAUACUAUAUUUAAGUCUUAGGUUAACCUGUUUAGCCUCAAAAUGGACUCCAAAAAUCUAGAAAAAAAUCCAUCUAAAUUGAUGGUUUGGAAAGUAGUAUUUAUCAUGGUGAUUCUUAGCAUACAUGUUUAGGUCAAAUCUAGAGUUUCUUAACAAAGCUCAUGCUCAAAAUUAAGUUCUGAUUUGAAAAUAAAUUUAAAAGCAUCCCAAAUAAAGUUGGGUAGACUUAGUUAGAGGGUACGUGUAGCCACCACUGAUAUCGCUUGUCGUAGAGAUAUCCAAACAUCAUAAUUAGAAAAAAGAUUCUUUCUUGGUCUCCCUCUCUUGUGUUUGUGGAGAUCAAGAAACUAGAGUGUGCAUCUCUCUAAUCUCACCCCUUCUCACAAGAAGAAAUCCUAGUUUACUUACACAUAUGGCCAAACAAGCUACCCCUAUAAGAGAUUUGGUAGAAGACCAAUGUCCUACUAGUUUACACCACAAUUUGAAUGCCUUCCUCAAGAUCCAAUUAAAAAGUGUGCUCUAAAUGGAGAAAUAGAAUGGGAAUCAAGCAAUCUAGUUAUCAAAACAACUAAAGAGCUACAAAUUCAAAGGAGUGGGUGCUUGUUACUAACCUUAAAGCAAGAAGAUCAUGCCUAUGCUUAAAAAUCCAAGACGUUCAUUAAGCAUUUUGGUAUAGAAUGACCGCAACAAUGGAGGGAGAGGUGGGAAAAGGUGCUCCUUGGCUAAGUGUGCUUGGGAUGGGAGGAACGAGGAAGGAGGAGGUCGGCUUUGUACUGUGCCCAAAGCCACUACUGGUUCAAGCCAAAAACCAGCAGAGAUAGCACAUCAGCACUACCGGUUCA
rnacentral:lncRNA from 1 species